UUCCGGUUGAUCCUGCGGAGGCCACUGCUAUGGGGGUCCGACUAAGCCAUGCGAGUCAUGGGGGUGUCCCUUCUGGGACACCACCGGCGGACGGCUCAGUAACACGUCGGUAACCUACCCUCGGGAGGGGGAUAACCCCGGGAAACUGGGGCUAAUCCCCCAUAGGUGUGGGGUACUGGAAGGUCCCCACACCGAAAGGGGCUUCGUGCCCGCCCGAGGAUGGGCCGGCGGCCGAUUAGGUAGUUGGUGGGGUAACGGCCCCACUAGCCUACGACGGGUACGGGCUGUGGGAGCAGGAGCCCGGAGAUGGACCCUGAGACAAGGGUCCAGGCCCUACGGGGCGCAGCAGGCGCGAAACCUCCGCAAUGCGCGCAAGCGCGACGGGGGGACUCCGAGUGCCCUGGCCUUUGGUCAGGGCUUUUCCGGAGUCUAAAAAGCUCCGGGAAUAAGGGCUGGGCAAGACGGGUGCCAGCCGCCGCGGUAAUACCCGCAGCUCGAGUGGUGGCCACUAUUAUUGGGCCUAAAACGUCCGUAGCCGGCCUGGUAAAUGCCCGGGUAAAUCGUGAGGCUCAACCUCACGAAUUCCGGGUAGACUGCCAGGCUUGGGACCGGGAGAGGCCGGAGGUACUCCAGGGGUAGGGGUGAAAUCCUAUAAUCCCAGGGGGACCGCCAGUGGCGAAGGCGCCCGGCUGGAACGGGUCCGACGGUGAGGGACGAAGGCCAGGGGAGCGAACCGGAUUAGAUACCCGGGUAGUCCUGGCUGUAAAGGAUGCGGGCUAGGUGUCGGACGAGCUUCGAGCUCGUCCGGUGCCGAAGGGAAGCCGUUAAGCCCGCCGCCUGGGGAGUACGGCCGCAAGGCUGAAACUUAAAGGAAUUGGCGGGGGAGCACUACAAGGGGUGGGAGCGUGCGGUUUAAUUGGAUCAACGCCGGAAAAU
rnacentral:rRNA from 1 species